UGGCACAGCUAGCGACACGGUGACUUUAUUCACCCGCUUCGGCUGUUAUCAGUCCAUACAAUGGGCGUUAUUAGCAGAAAUCAGUCCCAUAGAUGUGGGCCAUCUCCACCUGCUAGAUUGUUGAGAAGGUUGUUAUCAUUCAUCCAGAUGGAGGAUCAGUAACAGGAGCGUGGGAAGACUCCAGAAUCCACUCUGGCUGGAAUCCGGUGGAUACAGCAGUGUUUACAGGUACAGUACGUGAUAUUAAGGGCAGGCGGUCAUCACUGGGGGAAGACAAGAAGCAGACGUACUUCCAAGAGGGAGCUGCAGUGAGGACACAGCCUGGUCACUGAGGUCAGAGGAGGCGCUUAAAGGUUUCCCUAAUAGUUCCUGGUGAAUCAAAGCAGAACCAUAAAGGUUGCUGGACUGCAUGCUGGCCUUACCCCUGAGCAGUCAUCCUGUUAAAGGAGGAACCAGUUAGAAGCUGUUUUCAAAGUAGCUGAGCAGAUUUCAUCUCAACAGACAAAGCCGAUGGCAGAAGAUGUUUGGAGAAGAACUUCAGGCCGUGUACUGAAAAGUAGAUCAAAGCAGCUCGUGCUCUUUCUGCUUCC